GGGGUUGUAGCUCAGUUGGGAGAGCACCGGCUUUGCAAGCCGGGGGUCAGGGGUUCGAGCCCCCUCAGCUCCA
rnacentral:tRNA from 1 species